CCUUGUAGGACCACCAGUGGCGAAGGCGUCAGACUGGAACGCGCCUGACGGUGAGGGACGAAAGCCAGGGGAGCGAACCGGAUUAGAUACCCGGGUAGUCCUGGCCGUAAACGAUGCAUACUAGGUGAUGGCACGGCCAUGAGCCGUGUCAGUGCCGUAGGGAAACCGUUAAGUGUGCCGCCUGGGAAGUACGGUCGCAAGGCUAAAACUUAAAGGAAUUGGCGGGGGAGCACCACAAGGGGUGAAGCCUGCGGUUUAAUUGGACUCAACGCCGGGAAACUUACCAGGGGAGACAGCAGAAUGAUGGUCAGGUUGACGACCUUACCUAACGAGCUGAGAGGAGGUGCAUGGCCGUCGCCAGUUCGUGCUGUGAGGUAUCCUGUUAAGUCAGGCAACGAACGAGAUCCGCGCCUUUAUUUGCCAGCAAGAAGUCACGACUUCGUUGGGAACACUAAAGGGACCGCCGUCGAUAAGACGGAGGAAGGAGCGGGCAAAGGCAGGUCAGUAUGCCCCGAAACCCCUGGGCUACACGCGGGCUGCAAUGGUAUGAACAAUGGGCUGUAACUCCGAAAGGAGAAACCAAUCCCGAAAUCAUAUCUCAGUGGGAAUUGUCGGCUGUAACUCGCUGACAUGAACGUGGAAUCCCUAGUAAUCGUGUGUCAUCAUCGCACGGUGAAUACGUCUCUGCUCCUUGCACACACC
rnacentral:rRNA from 1 species